rnacentral:lncRNA from 1 species
AAGUCUAAAAGCACGAAAGAAAUGGUGCCUGCACACAGGCACUUCCCCUCAAAAGAAGCAGUCUGCAGAGCAGGAGCAGACAAAGGGACAAUUCGGAACAAACAAGCUCUCUCUAAACAGAUACUCGCCAAUUAAACGAUAAGAUAGUGAAUGGGUCUCCUUUAACAGAAAAAUACUAAAAGUCCUGUGCUUGGCAGAUUCAAUGAAUCAGCGAAUUGUUUCUGCAACCAUCUGAGGAAUCUGGGUGUGACGGUGAAAAAAUGUCCACUUCACAGUUGUGGAAGCAGAGGCUUGCAAAAGCCCAGAUAACAGAAGUCUAACCAGUCAGCCGAACGCCCGUGGUUCCAUCCGGCAAUCUUCUUUCAAACCAGGUAUCAACAUGAAGUUGUUGUAGUUUUUGUGAAAUAAUCUCGCAGCAUGUUUCUACAUUUACAAAGGAACUGAGGACAACAGUCACGUUAUUGUUUGGAUGUGAAAUGCUCCCCCAACCCCAUCUCUGCUCACGUUUUUUUGAACUUUUGGUCCCCAGAUGGUGGCGCUGUACCGGGAGGUUGUGACACCGGAAGGUAAGCCCUCUCGGUCUCUGUUCUUGGAAAGGUUAUACAGAGGCAUGCAUUGCUGUUGACCCUUCUAUACACUUCCACACAUGCACGUGCUCAUGUGCACACUACAUAUAGUUCUCUAGCAGAUCAGCGGUUCGACAUGGAGGUGAUUGUACUGGGGAAGACGAAGCAAACAAUUGGCUGUGAAGAGUGAGAGCCGUGCCCUGGCACAGCCAGUGUCUGCCAAGUGUCAUCACUCUUGCUGCUCAUCGCCCAGAGUCUGGUUUCUCAUCAUUUAAUUCUGCAAUGAUGAUUAUGUAACAAGGAACAGUUACUCUGUUUACCGGUCAGCAGGGUAAAACAAGGAAGACUGAGAACAUGCAUAAAGAUGAAAGCAGACGUGAAGGAAUUAGGCAAGGGAUAUCGGUGUUUUGUUUCCACGUGCACGACUUUGAAGCAGACCCCACAUCCCUGUUACUGACAUUCUUCAAGACAAAAGAAAACAUGUCUGUCUGUGUUUAAAGUCUGAGGACCAGAAGCAAAGCAUUGAUGUUUGGUGCUCGCCCUUCUACCCCUCAGCAGUGGCAACGGUGCUAACCUCACCCUUUCGUCCUCCUGUGUCCCAGAUCGGGACUAAAGGAAAGCUUGGCUCUUGGAUGGCGUGUGUGACCUCAGCCUCCUGCAAGUAGCAGGAUUGGCGCAGUCCUGGGCUGCAUGCCAAGCCCCGUGCCACUACGGGGAUCUCACAUUAGGGAACUCUCCUGCGAGGUGGGCGCACACUACAAAGGGUGUUUCUCACCGAGCCUAAGAAAUGCCCACGCAGGUUCGCCUAACCUCAUUGGCUCCGUCUUGUGCUGAGGAAGAUGUGAUUUGUGCUACAUAUAACCAAGUUAGGAAGACCCACGGAGGAGAGGCUUGCAGAAGAGCAGAGCGCAUACAGGCAGGGCCCUCCUCCCACACUGCAGCUAGGGCCUCGGGAGCUGGUGGACAGAUUCCAAGAGCAACUGGACACAGGGCUGCAGGAAUACAGGCUGAACCUGGGUACGUGGGGGUGUGGAGGGUCUGCAGCGGACUCGGGCUGACUCCCUCCAGCCUGAGAUUUUUCUAGUUUCUUUUGGAGAAAGGUGUAUAUGCAUUGCCCCUUCUCCUCAGACAUGGUUUCUUUAAAUAAAUCAGGGGUUGUCAUA